rnacentral:rRNA from 1 species
GUGCAGCAGGCGCGAAAACUUCACAAUGUGCGAAAGCACGAUGAGGGAAUCCCAAGUGCUUGCACGUAAGUGUAAGCUGUUUCUCUGUCUAAAACGCAGAGAGAGUAAGGGCUGGGUAAGACGGGUGCCAGCCGCCGCGGUAAUACCUGCAGCUCGAGUGGUGACCGUUAUUAUUGGGCCUAAAACGUCCGUAGCCGGUUUAAUAAAUGCCUGGGUAAAUCGGACCGCUUAACGGUUCGAAUUCCGGGUAGACUGUUAAACUUGAGACCGGGAGAAGUUAGAGGUACUCCUGGGGUAGAGGUGAAAUUCUGUAAUCCUAGGGGGACCACCAGUGGCGAAGGCGUCUAACUAGAACGGGUCUGACGGUGAGGGACGAAGCCCUGGGGCGCAAACGGGAUUAGAUACCCGCGUAGU